rnacentral:lncRNA from 1 species
AAUUAGAGUCAUUCUUCAGGUAGAAACGAACCUUCCUUGACUUCAUAAAUUAUCAGAUGUCUGGAAUUCUGAAUUUUAUCCCUUCAAGUCCCUCCACCAGAACUUCCCAGCACGUCCAUUUUCUUCUACAGCGUGAGGGAAGGGUCAGGUUUAGCAACAUUGUCUUGGCAAACAGAUUAGCCCUCUCCAUUUAGGAAGGAGGAAGGAGGCUGCUCUCGCGGCCACAUUUCCUGGAAGACUGCCGUACUGAGUUCCACGUCCCAGGAAACUCCGCAGUCCUGAGCAAAUGGAAUGGCUGGUCACCUGUUCCUGCUCUGGUGGGCACUCUCAUCUCAUGCGCUCCACUCAGGCUGUCUCUGAGCCAACGCAGUGCCAAUCUUUCCAGGUGAAUACAAGACAACCAGCCCUCCCUGCAAUUGGCUGAGCUAGUGUAUUGGUAAUACGGGCCGAAGACUGUAAUCUCUUUCUAGAAACACCUGGCUGGUGACAGACACACAGGAAGAAAAAUGGAAUAAACACAACUAGCUUCCCGUCAAGUUCUGGUGGGGGCCACCCUCACCACUUCAACCGAGAAGACACAGUUUCCUCCCAGAAAGUUCUGGGGGGUAGAGGAUUGACUAUCCUGGACCUUGGAACCACCGGCUACCUCGCACCUCUUUCCUGCACCCUUAAGAAACGUUUCUGUUCGGUUUCCAUUUCCUUUUGGAUAAAUGCCUUGGUUUUAAUGCUAAUGAUUCAACG